AUUGAACGCUGGCGGCAUGCCUUACACAUGCAAGUCGAACGGCAGCACGGGAGCAAUCCUGGUGGCGAGUGGCGAACGGGUGAGUAAAGUAUCGGAACGUGCCCAGUCGUGGGGGAUAACGUAGCGAAAGUUACGCUAAUACCGCAUACGAUCUAUGGAUGAAAGCGGGGGAUCGCAAGACCUCGCGCGAUUGGAGCGGCCGAUAUCAGAUUAGGUAGUUGGUGGGGUAAAGGCUCACCAAGCCGUCGAUCUGUAGCUGGUCUGAGAGGACGACCAGCCACACUGGGACUGAGACACGGCCCAGACUCCUACGGGAGGCAGCAGUGGGGAAUUUUGGACAAUGGGCGAAAGCCUGAUCCAGCCAUGCCGCGUGCAGGAUGAAGGCCUUCGGGUUGUAAACUGCUUUUGUACGGAACGAAAAGGUUUGGGCUAAUAAGCUGAGCUCAUGACGGUACCGUAAGAAUAAGCACCGGCUAACUACGUGCCAGCCGCCGCAGUAA
rnacentral:rRNA from 1 species